rnacentral:tRNA from 1 species
UGUGACGAAAUUGGUAGACGUAGCGGAUUCAAAAUCCKMCGCGYGUCSGUGUCGGGGUUUUUCAAGUAAACCACCUUCGGUACCCACCA